CAGGGAGACAACAAAAUGUUUAAUAUUAUUAUUUUGUCACCUUAGGUCGAUCGGUAUCUCACAUUUUUAAUUUAUUAAGAAUUUCCUUUCCUAAGUUUUUCUAGGUCACACCCAUUAUUUUUCCUGGGCCAUUAGCUCAGGUGGUUAGAGCGCACCCCUGAUAAGGGUGAGGUCCCUGGUUCAAGUCCAGGAUGGCCCAUAUCUCUAUGUUGGGGGUAUAGCUCAGUUGGUAGAGCGCCUGCUUUGCAAGCAGGAUGUCAGCGGUUCGAGUCCGCUUACCUCCACUGAUUACCACCUCUUCCAUAACCGGUAGAAAGGAAAUGUUUUGAGUUGUGAUCAAACCCUGAAAGAAUCUAGCUUCCUAAUGAAAUCAUUAAGAUGCUGGACUCAUUGAAUUAAUUUCAUUGUUUUCAGAGAACCUUGACAACUGCAUAGAUUAUUUUUAAAGACAAUAAGCAUCUUUAAUGAUGCAGAUUUAUUAUUUGUGCGAAUGCAUUAAUAACAAUUCUAUUAAGCUGAUGCUUCAAUAUAUUGAAGUUAUU
rnacentral:tRNA from 1 species